AUUUAAAAAAAAGGGUGUCGACGCUCCGCCCACGAAAGGCUUCGUUGUUGAAAGGAUUAAGCCCUUUCUUUGAUCUGGGCACAAACGAUGCGCCUAAUCGAAUCAGUAACAAGUGAAGAAUGAGGAACGGCUAAUGGGAUACGUUUCUUCUGGAAGUAUCGCGCCGGUGAAACCGGUUACGGGAAUUCUAAUCUCGCGUGGAUUACCAAAUGUAAUUCCAAGUUUCGGCGAGAGCUCGCUCUCGAGAAUUACUUGACGCUUAAGAACUGAUUUGACUUGCACGAAACCAAUUGACUAAUUAUUUAUUUACAUUGAUUUAAACGACUGGAGGAAUUGUAAAAGAAAGGAAACAGGGGGAACGUUGUUCGAGAAAUCGAUGGAAAAUAGUCGGACUUGGAAAUGAUCGUGCAGCAUGUUGCCAAGCCGAUGGAUUAACGCGAAUGGAGAGAAAUAAGCAGCAAGGUAGGGGCUAAAGUGAGAGAAAACUGAGACGAGAAAAUAGCAAGGAAAGGUCGUUCCAAUUCAGCGUAGCUCAUUUAUCAUUGAACCCCGAAUGCCAAUCUCCUUCUCGGUGAAUCGACGGGUAGAAAAAAGGGGGUAAGCGUAAAAUAAAGAAUGAAAGGACUUGAGUAACUUGCCGAAUUAUUUGUCAAGUAUUAAAGUUCUUUAAAAUCCGUCCGACGGCUAUUGUACUUGCAAACUCGAGAAUAAGCCGGCUUGGAAAAUUGACCGAUUCGAUUCGUAAAUUAAUUCGCGAUUGCUAAUUGGAACGGAACAAUUGCAGUUUACUUCAUUUGUUUAAAACACAAUAACUCUUUGUACGAAAAUACCUAAACGUCAUACAAACAUUCGGAUUGUUUUGCACAAUGUUCUUUUUAUAAAAUUAUUAUGCUGCGUAUGAGACGAAUACGAAGAAAUGAAUAAAGAUGAUUUGAUUUAAAAUGCCAUAUUGAAGGAAACUUGGCAAGUUAUCAAUAAUCUUGGAUCAGCAACAAUCGAUUCGCUCUAUGCCCCUUGAUUCAAUACACGUACGCCACAGAUCCUUAUAUCGAUUCACACGACUGUUCAGCUAUCGCAAAAUCUUAACUAUUCAUUCUAAAUCAUAGUCCUAAUAAAUGCGUCUAAAGUUAAAAAAAUUGGUCGCUCGAUGCUUCUACAAACUGCAUCUGCUAUUGUAUCCUUCUAAUAAUAGUCGGAUCAUCGUUUAGAGAUCCAUCGUCUGUAACUUGAUCCAACCAAGAUCAAACUUUUGCCAGUGAAACGUAGAUAUAAAUUGCAUUUGAAAUUAAUAGUUACUCCCGUGUUCGCAACCGAAACAAGUAGUCAACUAGACGUACAAACUGAAAUCACUGCAGGGGCACUACCAACAACUUGUAACUUUAGUACUUGUACUGAAACGGCAUUUGACGAUUUUAAACAAGUGGAUUUUCAAUCCGAUUUAAAAGCGCUUGAAAAUCUUUUUUCCAUUCUACACAAGCCGAGAAGUAGACGUCCUUCUUUAUCCAAGCACGUAUGUGCUUGUAUGCACACACAUUGGGAAAGAGAGGCAAGAGAAACGACGUUCCUGCAGUGAUUCGGCAAUCCUCGAGAACUGCAGUAAGAGUUUUCAGGUGCCAACCAGAGGCCACCGACAAAUUGCCCCAGUAAGUUCGGAUCGCCUGAAAACUCUAGUCGCAGAUUUUAAGAAUUCAAGAACAGUGCCAACGGGCUGUCGUCGAAGUCCGGUGGGGAAUCUCAUUUUUACAUUCGAAUCUAAUCAUUCUCACGAUUGAAACAUACAGACUUUUAUAAUUUACUCCUGCUGAUGAAACAAAAAAAAUUAUAUUACACAAGCAUAAAUCGUUCUAAUGAUACGUAAGCAUACUCUCAACCAUGUGCCUGUUUACACAUUUGUGUAACACGAAUUCACGUGAAAACAUUUGAUCAAACAAAAACUAUGACAUUCGUAAUUCGUUAUACUUACGUCGUUACACUUACGUCAUUAUACUUACACAGUAUCAUGGAAAAGAUCACAUAGGACGAAAUAUUGUAUGCAAAAAGGAGCACAAUUAAAUAAAUAAACUGCUUUUCAUGUUCACAAAA